rnacentral:rRNA from 1 species
CAGUGCCACGGGAAUACGAAGGUGGCAAGCGUUGUCCGGAUUUAUUGGGCGUAAAGCGAGCGCAGGCGGUUCCUUAAGUCUGAUGUGAAAGCCCCCGGCUCAACCGGGGAGGGUCAUUGGAAACUGGGGAACUUGAGUGCAGAAGAGGAGAGUGGAAUUCCAUGUGUAGCGGUGAAACGCGUAGAUAUAUGGAGUAACACCAGUGGCGAAGGCGACUCUCUGGUCUGUAACUGACGCUGAGGCUCGAAAGCGUGGGUAGCAAACAGGAUUAGAUACCCGCGUAGUCCCUGUCUCUUAUACC